GGCGAACGCUGGCGGCGUGCCUAAUACAUGCAAGUUGAGCGCUGAAGGUUGGUACUUGUACCAACUGGAUGAGCAGCGAACGGGUGAGUAACGCGUGGGGAAUCUGCCUUUGAGCGGGGGACAACAUUUGGAAACGAAUGCUAAUACCGCAUAAAAACUUUAAACACAAGUUUUAAGUUUGAAAGAUGCAAUUGCAUCACUCAAAGAUGAUCCCGCGUUGUAUUAGCUAGUUGGUGAGGUAAAGGCUCACCAAGGCGAUGAUACAUAGCCGACCUGAGAGGGUGAUCGGCCACAUUGGGACUGAGACACGGCCCAAACGCCUACGGGAGGCAGCAGUAGGGAAUCUUCGGCAAUGGACGAAAGUCUGACCGAGCAACGCCGCGUGAGUGAAGAAGGUUUUCGGAUCGUAAAACUCUGUUGGUAGAGAAGAACGUUGGUGAGAGUGGAAAGCUCAUCAAGUGACGGUAACUACCCAGAAAGGGACGGCUAACUACGUG
rnacentral:rRNA from 1 species